CUCCGCCCCCGGGCUGCGGGAGCUGAGAAGGAGCGAAGAUGGCGGAGUGAGGCGUGCCCCGGGCAGCUGGCCUCCGGGCCCGGGGCGGGCCUCCCGGGAGAGACGCGGUGUUUGUGCUGGAGUCUGUGAGGAACCUUAUCAUACAAGAUGAGUCUUUUCCUGACCAUAGGUGCUUUUAUAUUCAGCUCAGAAUUCUGAACUCAGGAGUUGGCAAGAAUUUCUAUGUUGUCUUCUCAGUGCGGUGUCCUGGUUCUUCUGUCCAGCUGCCUUCCCCAGUGAAAUUCGGAUGUCUUUCUACAGAUUACCUCAGUGGUUUGGGAUGGAAAGACUGCUUUUCCUUUACUUCACCUCAGACUCGACACAGAGAAGCUCUGAGGAGGCAGAUGUCCUUUUGACUUCAGGAAGGAAAACAACUGGCUUGGGUCUUCUGCAGUUUUUAUAAACAGAAAAACACGGUUGCAAGUAGAAAGAUGUUUAAUUUGAAACAGGUGCUUAGAUUGUGUGGCGUGAAGUGUCCCCUUAUUCAACGCUCCAAACAAGACUAAACAAAGACCAAGUGUGGGUGGCUCCAGAUUGUUUAAGUGUCUUCCGACUUUAACAUGAUAUAAGCACAGUUGAAACUGCAGUGGUAGAUCCCAAGUAUUUAUUAUAAUUUGAGGUGAAAGAAUUGUGAUCUAAAUCCUCGCUCAUCCAUUGACAGAUUUUCUGGACAGAAACAAAUCUAUAAGAUCAAAGCAGAAAGGCAAGAUACCAGGUUUGGUCUCACAUGGGAGUAAAACCAUUGCAGUUUGUGUGUGCAGAUUCACAUUUUUAUGAGUACAAAUCCACCUUUUUUAAACAAGAUUUUUCUCUUGGAGAAGAAACUUGUCAUUUAUGAGAAGGCUUUGGACAGUGUGAUGGUCUUAAAUGUUUGGGUUUCAUCUGCUUUGCUUUGCUCUCUUUAUCAUUCUCAGGAGGGACCACCUGCCCCUGUGGCUAGUUCCGAGUGAGAAGAAAACACAGGAUGGGGUGAUGCUCACCUCAUACUGCCAGUGCUUGGGAGGCAAGAUAGGAAGACCAGAAGUGCAGGCUUGGGCUUCAUGGUGAGAACAGCUGGAAAAAACUGAUCCCAGUAACACCACUUUUAUAUUCUUUUUUUGUGGAAUCACAUGUAGCAUGUGAGACUUGGAUUUUCCAUGUGGCUCUGCCUGGAAGGACAGUGGCAAAUGUGGUCUCUCACUUAAGGAGAUGUGACAGAGCCUGUAGUGUUACUUGCCUUCAGCUUUGGACAUACAGGAGUGAAAGAAAAAAUAACACGUGGCAUAUAAAUCCUUUCUUCUAAGAAAAAGAAGCAAAGAUGUCUAAUGUAGCAUCAUCUGACUUUUAAGCGUUUUUACAUUAUGUAGUUGCAUUUUUUUUAUAAAAGCAGAAAUAACUUCCUUCAACUCAAGAUUGGUACUUGGACAUUUAUUUUUCUAGGUGAUUAUGUAAUGUUAGGCUGAAAUUCUGGGACUCAGGUAAAUUUUCCCAGUUUGAACUGAACUAUCUUACCAGAGAAUGGGCCUCAGAAACAGUGUUCCCAGACCUGUAGUUGGUUCACUAUAAUCUUGGAAGAACUUUGAGAUCUGAACAAAACUUCAAAUAAGAAAAGCAGCUCCAAUAAGAAGUAUGGAUAUUGUUGCCAAUCACUGUAGAUUUAAAGGAAAUGCAGGGCCUGGGGGAGGGGGGAAAACUCAAGAAAACUAGCUCCAGUAAGAAGUGAUGCGUGUUUGUUUUUUCCUUUAACAGUUGCGUUAUAAGGAACUACCGUGGAAACAUCUCUUUGCUUCCAAAUCAACAGGGUCUGUUAUAUGGGAUGCCAGGCUUUUGCAUGAGAGGACGGAUGCCAUGGUUUGCAGUGGCUACCAGCAGAGAAAGAUGAAUUAGGAACAGGUGUUGUCAGAGCUGAUUUCUGGAACAGUUUUCCUGUGCUGUAGGUGCUGUAAAUUUGAGUCAUAGAAGUGAUCAAUAUUGGGAGAUGUUGAACAUUCAUGGUUAGUCAGAUUGGGCAACAAAUUUGAAUUUAUACUAAGAGAUUUUUUCACAAAAUAUUUAUAUAAAUAACCUAUUAAUGAGAGCAAAUAAUGAUAAAACACUAGAGAAAUAACAAAGGUAACCUUAAUGUCUGGGCUUCAUAGCUCACACCUGUAACCAUAGCAUUUUGGAGACUGAGGCAGAAAGAUUGGCCACAAGAUCAAGGCCAAAGAGACCCUGUCUCAAAAACAAACAAACAAACAAAAAAAACCCCAUAUUCUUCUAAGUGCCCCAGCCACUUAUAUUUUUCAUUUAGAAGGCAGUGGAAGGCAGUUGGUGAUUGAGAACAUCUCACAGAUGCCUGAGCCAUCCUUCACCUUGCCCCCGGCAUGGGCUGUCACCACUGGGGAGGUGUCAUCCGUUUGCUCCAGAUGCUUCAGGGCUUUAGCCUAAACCUUCAAGUGAGUGUUCUCUGUUCUCUGUGGGAGAAGCUCCUGCAUCCUGCAUUGUUAGCAUCAAAUGGCGUUUUGCAGCAUGGGUAGAUAACAGCUGUAGUCGCCUGGUCUGUGGUAUGUUUCCAUUUAUAGUCUUGACUUGGGUUUCUCCUUAAUAGCAGCAAAAGCUACCCUUUUAAAUAUAUUCCUCCAUCUGUGGCUGUGCCUCCUCCCUUCUCCAUGUUUUUUCUUUUGAAGUUACUAAACAAAAAUGGGAUAUGUGCAAUAUAAAUAUAUAUAUAUGUAUAUUUUAAUACUUGUGGACAAGUGUUACAAGUUGUUUAAGAACAACAAAAUCACCAAUGUCUUCCAUUUUGAGAUGUGUAUAGUUUUGUAAGCAGUAGUGCUUGGUAGCAUAUUGUAGUGCUAUGUUAGGGUUAGUGCAUGAAUUUAGUAUAAUUUUAAACUUCAAGAUGAAAUAUUGAUAAUAACCAAUAGUGUAAAAAGAGUGGAAAAUCCUAGACCUUUACUUUUUUGUGUAUGAAUCUGUGAUAUUCUCCCUGGGACUAGGAGAUAAAGGCCAAACAGCUAAUGCCAGAACAGCAAUGUGGGUUCACAUUGGGAAACAUUGUGCUUGAGGGAGUGUUAGCCUUUCAGACAGUAGCUAGAAAUAGCUGCCUUUGUAGCUUUUCAGCCCUCAAAGCAAGGCCUUGUUUCAUGGUUGUCUUGCUGUCUUAGUUUGAAGCUAGCUUGUUCUUAUUUUGUCUUUGCUUGUAUGUCUUGGUUCAUUUUUCCUAUUUUGUGUCCAGAAAAUUAUUUUUUAUUUUGCAUGUCUGAGAUGCUGUGCUAAUUGCUUGGAAUGUUUACUUUUUCCUGUUUGCAGCAUGUAUGCAAAUUGCAGAACCUUAUCAGCAGUUUGGAGUAUCUGGUACUCUAGGCUUUGCCCAGUUCCAAAUCUGACUUUGGUGUUGAUUGCAGACUUUUUCUUGAGAACUGGUAGUUCAGUGGGGCCCCUGUAGGUAGCCAAGAAGUGAGUUGGUCUCUCCUUUGGUAAUUGUUGACAGCUUUCCCUUUUUUUCUUCUUUCCUUAUGGAAAUAAAGUAGUUGCUUUGUUCUGAAAAACAAAAGUUUUCUGUACAAUGGAAUUCCUACCUCUAAAAGCUGCCUAGGAAACUAGUAACUAGAAAACUUAGAAGUUUUCUGGAGUGUUUUAUUUUUGUUUUUUAAUUUUAGAAUUAGAGUCCUGCUGGGUGUGGUGGUGCAUGCUGUAAUCUCAGCAUUUGGGAAGUUGAGGCAGGAGAAUCAAGAGUUCAAGGUCAUCUUCUGCUACAUAGUGAGUUGGAGGUCAGCCUGGGAUACCUGAGGUCCUGUCUCAAAAAAAAAAAAAAAAAAGGAAAGAGAUUCUAGGAUUUAUUAACCUUUAUUAUAUUAGUAUGAUAAGAAUUGUAAAACUUCCCACAUAUGGUAGGUAUUAGUGUAGCGUUUUAUAUAUACAGGGACCCAGGAAUAGACCCUUAUAGAAUAUGAAAUAUUUGUACUUUUUAGCUCAAGUAUGUGGUUAGCACCUGGGAGAAUCUGCUUCGGAAAAGCAUUUAAAUUUAAGAAACAAAGGGAAAAAAAACUUGAAAAAGUAAUGCAUAUAAAGUAGCACAGUACAUAGGAAAGGACAUUUUCCUAUUGCAAGAAAUAAAAGCCAUAAAUGAACUAAUAAUGUUGAAGAGGUGGAAUUUAGUAGCAAUAAGAAUUUCGCAUGUAUAGUAAAUUAUAUGGUUGAGUGAUUACUGUUUGAGUUUGUGGGGCUCUGCAGUUUUAUAGAGUUCCAUAAAAGGGAAAAUACAUCCUCGGUUAAGAAGCAUUUAAACUAUGAAUGUAUAUGAAUAUAUCUAUGUGAAAAAAAUACCAACUUUCGUAUAUGUGUUAAAGACCUCAUUUUUGUUUCCCAGAGUUUACAGCUGUUGAAAUCUUUCUAGUGCUUAAUCUGGAAGCAAAUGUACUUCUACAGUCCCAGUGAAGCCAACAUGUAGGGGUCUUAAAUUGUUUUUUUACUAAUAGUUAUUUACUGUAGAAUGAUGGAUGCUUUAUAAUCUUUUCAUUGGCUUCCUGGCUACUUUUUCAAAAGGAAAAGUGUGUUUUUGUGUGUGGUUGGUAUGUUUCGGAGGAGAGGGGGAGCCUCGAGAACUUGCUGUUUUCCUUGUCCUUAGAAUCAAGGAAGUUAGGAAUUAAAGGUGAACAAAAUAACUGGGCAGUACCCAGGAUGGGGGUUAUCUGAAUGUUGGAUAUGUGUAUGUGAUAAGCUUGUGGCCUGUGUGUGACUGCUUAUUCUUUUAAUAAGGAGAACCCAGCAGACACAUUUCUUUCUUGAUCUGAGGAGUCAUACAACUCACAUCAAGAUGUAAGCAGGAACUGGGUGACUCCUCACUUCCUUUACCUCAUGUACAUCAUGGCCAUUUAGCACCUUGAACAUUCCUGAAAAGAUCUGGGUCCGUGUUCCUUUGUUUUCCCAGGGGGGAAAAAAGUAAAAGUAGUUUUGUAGAUCUGAGACUCUAAUGAAUUAUUUUAUUAUAAGCCUAAGGGUAGGGAAAAGGCUAUAUUAAGUGUAGUUUCUCUUUAAAUGUCCCGUGCUGUCCGUGUUAGGUUUUGGGACAACCAAGCAAUAUUCAGAACACCUGCAUGAUCAUGGAGACGUGGCUACUUCAGUUACAGCGGAGAUUACCCUUGACAGCCGUGUCUGUGGUUCUAAAUACAAAAGUAUGCUACAAGAUUUUGUGGUCUCCAAAUGUGUGGUAAUUAGUAUUCAAUCUUACUGUAGUCUCUUGUUUACUCUUUAUGUACUGUGAUAUGCAAUAUAUGAAGAGACCCCUAGCCUUCAGGAGUUUACAUUCUCAUGGUGCUGUAGGUGCAAGCAAACUGACUCUAGUUUAUUCAGAACAUUGCUUGGCUAGUAAUUAUACCAUUUUGGAAGAACCCCUUGGCCAAGAGUUUUAAAAUGCAGAGGGCUAUGCCAAAUUUCAGGGCAUUACUGCUUGAGUUUACAUUGUUUUAGCUCUGCUCCUCAACUUUUCCCCAGGGAGCUGUUCAUUAAUGUGAAUCAGAAAAGAAACCAUUCUGCCUAAGAAUCCUUACUACCCCUACAGCUCCCGAUAAGUGGCCAGGAAAACUUACUGCUCCUUAAAGACGGUCACCUCAGUUCCUUUUUUUCCCCCCCCAGGGCUGUAAACUAUUCAUUACCCUCCAAGGGCCAGGCUUUCUAGCUAAGCCUUUUAGGGCUAAAUAGAAGUCUUAAGUUUAGCCUUUUUGUGUAUGACUUGUUUUUGUUUUGAAGCACCAUUGUAGUAGAUAAUGGAGUACCUGACUGCAUCUGUAAAGAAUUUGACAUACUCAGUUGAAGUUUUGCAUGUAUCAUUGCUUUUCCCAUGGUUCUGAAUCAAAGGGUUUGCGUGUUUAUUAAAACCAGGCCUGGUUGAAAAUGUAAGCAAUAGUGGCAGGCCCAUAACUGAUUCCAGAAUGCUAACAUUCUAAUGCAUGGCUGAAAUUUUUCAUUGUUAGGUAGUUACUAGUAAAUUUACAUAUGCAUUUAUCAAUAAUGAAGCAAUAGAUACUUAAACCAAUGGCUUGGUUUUAUUUUUAUCUUCUAAUUAAAGAUUGUCUUACUUCCAUUGAAAAUUGGAAGUACAAGAUAAACAAGGGGCAACCACAAGACAUUCAAACUGUUAGGAACACAGCAAGCAGUGCUGACUCUGUGUCCUAGCUCUAUUUAUUCCCAAGCAUGUUUGCAUAAAAGCUAAACUAAGCAUGCUGCAUAAGCUGCUGUCAUCAGGAUGGUGCAGGGUUCGGAAGAGUGGGGAGAGGCUAAGUAGAGUCAUCUUCCUUCAGAAACGACAGUAGUCAGUGUAAACCAGAUAGCUGUGGUACUUACCUGAUUACAUUUAUGUAGAUUAAAUUUGGGGUUUCUUAAAACUAUAGAUUGAGCCGGAUGCAUGGUCUGCGGUUCCUGCACAGGCAGAAACCAGCCUGAGUGCGAUAGCCAGACUCCCUCACGGAAAGCUAGUGUCUUGGAAGUGAAGGGCAAGGUGUGUGCCUGUUGCUGCUCUUCAGUGCUGAGGCAUCUGCUCCGGAAGGUGCUGCCUGACUGUCAGCAGGGACCUGCCUGCAGCAGGAGCAUCUUUGUAGAGCUGCAGAAGUCCUGCCAUUGUUCUGCUGAUUGCACCUGUGGCUGAUUUUACAACUGUGAAACUGGAGUUUUACUUUAGAAGAGUUGCUCAAAGUUCAUAUCAUGCCUAAAACUUGAUGAACAGGUCAAGUUUCUCUUCCAAAAGAGACAUUUGUUUGCCUGAAUGAACAUCAGCUUGAUAGCAGCAAAAGGAGCAGAAGUAUGAUCUAGUGGCAGAGCGCUUAAGAGAAUGGGCUCAAUUGCCAGCACUACCAAAAAAGCCUCAUGGGGUUGCAUAAGAAUUUCAUGACUUUGAAAUGAUCCAAAUAACAAAUUGUUUGACAAAUAGUAAGUAUUUAUAAUGUCUGAAAGGCCUAAAUAGAAUUCAGAUAAAACCUUCACUGGGUUCAAUCCAAUUUACAUGUUAUGUGAUGGAAAAAUAGUUUCAAAUUUAUUUUGUGUUUUUUUUUGUUGUUGUUGUGGUACUUUGUUAAGGAUUUCAAUUAGAAAGGUAUGUUCCAUCCUUUGGAAAUAGAGUUGUCAGUGUGAUGUUUGCUUUCCACUGAGACACAGGAAUUGAGGUAUAGGAUGUAUCCCACAUAGAAAUAUUCUUUGCCACAUACCAGCCAAUAAAGAUGUAAGGUCAAAGUUCUUCCUUCUAGCACUCUCUCCUAAUAGUACACUAAAGUCAAAACAUCACACAGGAAGAUUAGAUGGAUAUUUGGGAGAGCUCACACUUACAAACACCUUAAAAGUAGAGAAUAUGGUUAUGAUUACUGGUGAUUUUUCAAAACAUUUUGACACCUUUGCUAGUGGUGUGCUGUGUCCUUAAUUGAAAUAUGCUUUUGUGCUUGGGAUAUAGCUCUUGGAGAACACUUGUGCCCUGGGGCUAGUGCCCAGCACCAGCACCUUAUCCCAAGGAGCACACUGGUGAUUGGUCAGUGUUUUGUCAGUCUUUAAGCAACAUUACUAAUCUGGGCAUUAACCUUAAACACAGCCAUCCCUUUAGUGAAGAAAAAUUAACAAUAUUAGAGUAGUCUACUCGAGAGAAUGUUGAGUUUUCUGCCCUUCAAGCACAGGUGUCACUGUUCGCUUGCUCUUCCUUGUACCUUCCAUUGCGCCAUCAGUGUAUGAGGUGAUGUUUAAAGAGCUUCAUUGAACGUGUCAAGCACACUACAAAAGGCAGCUUCUUAAUCUAUGCAUCUUUGGGAGUUUUGAAGAAAUUUGACUCCUUGGAAAAGGAACUGUUGUGAGAGCCUGAAACUGCACCUGUAUGUAUAUAUUUUUAGCAAUAAAGCAUGAGCUGAGAAUGCACUGAAACUUCAUUGUGUGUUGCUACUUUGAAAUGGGUAAUUUCAGGUAAUAUUGUUACAAUGGAAAAAGCAGCCUUUCCAUGGGCCAGGUUAAAGUAGGCUUUAGGUGUCUGUUUUCUUUUUGGUGGUGGGCUGGGAAGUGGAGUUGAGACAAGGUGGCCUUGGCUGGCCUUGAACUCACAGAGCUCUCCCUGCCUCUGCCUUGUGAUACUAAGAUUAAAUUUGUGUAUCACCAUGUCAGGGUUGGGUUUUUUUUUUGUUUUUUGUUUUUUUUUUUUCUGGGUUUAAUACUUGUGGUAGUUUCUGCUCAGUGGUAAUAUAACCAUCUGAAGAGAAGGAACAUCACAUUUUAACUUAACCAAGCUUGUUUCCCUUUCAAGGACCACCUUAUACUUCAUCUAGAUAAAUUCUUAGUUUCUGGUAAGGAAAACUGGGCAGUGGUGGUGCCAUUAAAUUACUCCCGGGACUUGGGAGGCGGAGGAAGGCAGAUCUUUGUGUUUGAGGGCAGCCUGGUCUUCAGAGCUAGUUCCAGGACAGCCAGGGCUACACAGAGAAAUCCUGUCUUGGGGGGGGGAAGGGAGGAAAAGAACUGGGCCAGGAUGCCAUAGGUAUUGGGCAGAGGGCUAUCAGGGACUGUUUGAUUUGAACAAAGACUUUCUCAGGGUUGGUCUUCAGUCAUGGUGAAGCUGCCUCAUCCUUUGAGACAGUCAGUGACAGCAGCAUAGCAACCACUUGUCCCACUGGCUCCAGCAUUCUCAGUUAUGCUCUUGUAUCCCAAUGGGUGCUCAAGUUUGCUGCUCCCAUUUACUCCUCCCAUUUACUCCAUACUCCUGGCACAGGCAUUUGUACAAGGAAAAUGACACUAAAGCUGAAUGACACGAGAGCUGAAGUCGUUUUCAAGAUGCACUGGGUUGGUUACUUAACAAGAUUUAACACAUUUAAAAGGGGGAGGGGAGCAUAAAACAGCAGAUAAAGGCAUUUGUUGCUUAGCUUGACCUGGGUUUGAUCUUCCUCAUUGUAGGAAGAAAAUGACUCCUACAAGUUUGUCAUCUGACUCCACACUUGCACAAAGAAUAAAUGUAAACACAGGUUGCAGACUGGACAUGGUGAUGUGCAUGUGCGGCCCUAGCACUUGGAAGAUGGCAGCAGGGUCCGUUCAGAGCCUGAGUGUACAGGUCUGAGGUUAGCCUGGGGUCCAAGCCUCCGUCCAGAAGUAGACGCUGUAAUUACUUACAGGAAAGGACAGGUGUUCCCCUAUCCCCUAAAGAAAGAGGUUAGAAACUUCAAGAUGGGCUGUUGUCAAAGAGAAACAAACAAUUGGCCUUAUUACCCAACUGCUAAAGGACUUGAGGGUUUUCAGUGCUGUGAUGAGCAAAAUUUACUAGUAAAUUCCAGAGGUUCCAUGUAAGAUACCGGCAUCCAUACCUGUGACGUGUCCAUUCUUCAAGCCUUGAUAUGGCACAGGCCUGUUACUCAGUUUUGUGUGACAUGGACCUCCAUCAAACCUUGUUAGGAUAUCAGCAUGUUUCUGGUAUGUAUGUGGGGAUUGGGUCUUAAAAUUCUUUACAGGGUCAAGUGGAAUUAUAAAAUGCAUCUCAGCACUCCUAUAUAAACAAAGCAUGCUCCGAAAGAAACGUAUCUUUUGGACCCUGCCAUUAAGGUUGAAAUCUGACGUUUCCGGAUAGCCUCUGAGCUCAGUAUAAUAUGGCUGACUACCUCUCUGCUUAAUCUGGGGAACCCCAACAUCUUCUGAGAAGCAUCACAUAGCCUUCAGGGAGAUUAUAAACCCAAAUCUUGUCUGAGAAGCAUGCAGCUGGGGAUUCCUGGAAACACCCACCAACCCUAUGCUAAUGAGAUAUCUUGGUGUCUUGGUUUUCAACCAAUGACCUUUAGCCGUAGCUGAAGUUCUUCCCCUGCCUAUAGGAUAUUUAAGGGCUACUUUCCCCUCUUACGACAGGCUGUGUGGCUAUGUGAGUCAAGUAACCCUGGCAUCUCUAGCCCCAGCAAAUCUAACACAUUCACCCUCAGAACCUCUCCCACUGCCCAAGGUUUGUAAGUCCUGAUUUCACGUGGAAUAAACAUGCUGCUGGCUACCAUCAGCUUUUCCUGACAGAGUAGACAUUUAUUCUGGGGAAAGGCCUCCCCUCCCUGAAAACUGCUGGGGCCUGGCUGCUGGCCAGGCGACAUCUCCCUUGGUCGCCACUGAGCCUGCCCGACAGGUUGGGGCUGCCCAGCAGAGAAGCCCCCACCAGGCCUUGUUUCUGCCUUUGCCCACACCCCUGCCAUCAAUACAGCUGCUUACCAGAGGGCUGCAGCACUGCGGUGUCAAAGGCUUUUGGAACUCCGGCCUUCUGAUACUUGCAAUCUUCUCUUUCUUCCUUAAUUCAGGACAGGGUUUCUCUGUGUAUCUUUGUUUGUCCUGGACUUUUUAGACCACGCUGGCAUUGAACUCACAAGGAUGGCCUGCCUCAGCCUCCCAGAGUGCUAAGAUUACAGGCGUGUGCCACCACACCUGCUACCUUCAAUCUAUUUAAAAGAGCUAACAUAACACCCAGUGAAAAACUCAUUUCCACUUCCUCUGGUGAGACCGGGAGCCUUGCCCAGCACAUGGGCCUCACCCUGAGUGCUCUAGCCAUUCCUGAGAGAAGCAGAACCUUUGAGCUCAAGGUUCCUCUCUUCCAGUCCAAAAGCCAACAGCCGCGUCCCUGAACUACCCAGGCUACCAAAGGCUCAAAAAGACAUGUAUCUUUUUUUAAAGUGUUUAUUAACAUACACAAAGGAUUUUGUGAUAUAGACACACACAUAUAUAUAUACAUACAUAUACUGUAUUUAGAUCAUACAUCUCCCACAUCCCAGUUACCUUUUACCCACAGCUCCUCUUCUGCUUUCAUGUUUUUUGUGUGUUACCCAAUGAGCUUCAUUAGUUACAGGAGCGUGGGCACUUUACCAGUGUCUACACCACCAAAGAAAAUGUCUUUCUUGCCCCAUAAAUUAUAUAUAUCCUCAGGGAAUAAAAGGCCCUCCUGAGCCCUAGGCCUCUGACAGCUGGGAACAUGUUAAAGUGGAUGUGGACAAACACACAUGUUAGAGUCAACCAUGAGACCUAAGGCUCCUUUAGAUAGUAGGAGGCAGAUCUCUAGUCAGGCUUGCCUUGUCUCAGCCUCAGAUGUGUUAGUAUGACAGGUAAAGGCCACUGCAUCCAUGGCAGCUGCCAGAUUUCAUUGAGCAGUUAUAUACUACAUUACAUCUUUUACUUGAGUGCUUAAUGGUUUAUUUUCUUUCAAGUUAGAUAUAAAAAUGGCAUGAAACAUUUAGUUUAACAAAAACCCACAGAAGGAACACCAAUAACAAGCAAUACAACAGUCUGCACUAGUGAGAGUUCUGCCAUGCCUAGUCACAUCACAAACAUGGGGUUCUUCCUGUCCUAGUCACACUACUCUUACAGAAACAUGACGGGGGUUUAUCGAUUACAAAUACUGUGACUGUGAGCCUGCUGUGCAAGCGUUGUCGAAAGCCUGCUGCAUGUUUUUGAUACAGGUGCCUAGAGAUUAGGCUGUGAUCUGCAGUAGCCAUUGUGUGUCUUCAGUCUCUAUAAGCUGUGCUAGACUGGCCGCAGUGGCCAUUGUGUGUCUUCAGUCUCUAUAAGCUGUGCUAGACUGGCCGCUAGUUGUGCCAGGGUGUUACUUGUACUAGUUUACAGGGCUUCUUCCUUGUCUUUACAUGGUACGUUUUAAAUUUACCAAUUUGGUGUUUAUUUUUUGGUCGUUAGUAGUGAGGCUGGGUAACACUUCUCAAACCUUAGCCUUUUCCUGUAGUGUGGGAGCUUUUGUGUGCACGCAGUGCAGGUAUUCUACCUGAGUCACACUCCUCAGCCCAGUGUCUUCUCUAAAAUGCUUGCACAAGUAUUUUGCCAGUUUGUAAGUGGGUUACUUGUCCUGAUGUACAGCAGUUGGUCUACAGCUUCUGUAUUUUGCAUUUUUGUUGUUUAGAUGUGACAUUUUCUGCUUUGGCUCAGGUUUUCACUCUAUGUUGCUUUAGUUGCAAUUCUGUAUUUUAAAGUUCUGUUGUCUUCAAAGGAGCGAUGCUUAAGAAACAUUCUUCUACUGUGAGAUAAUGAAGCUUUUCUUCAGAGUUCUAUCUUCACAUUUAACAUGCAGAUCUUACACUGCCUGGAUUGAUUUUCAUAGGACAGCAUUCAAUUUAUUUUUUCUUUCAUGGGGUUAACCAGUUAUUCCAGUAUUAAUUCAAAUAAUCCUCAACAAAGGCGUGGUUACUGUUUUUACUCCUAUUUUACACAGAAACAGAAUAGUUUAGUUAGUUCAAGUUCAUGACUAAUAACAAUUAGAACACAGUCUGAAUAUCAAGGGUUUCUUUCUAAAAUCUGCUCACUUAGCAGCAUGUUAUACUGUGCCUCUCAAAAAUGGAAGUGGGUACCAGUGAGAAGGCUCAGAAGUACAGGCAUUUGACAUUAAGCCCCUGAUGCCACAUGUGAGCCAUGGCAAAUAUAUGCCCCCACACAAGUGUAAUUUAAAAAGCCAGAGAAAAACCUAAGAAUAAAAAAGAAAGAAGCAGCAAGUCAGCUGAGCGGGUAAAGGAGCUGAGCCACCAGCCUGACCACCUUAGUUCAAUCCUCUGGACAGAAAUGACUCCUAGUUGUCAUCUGACCUCCAGAUGCAAAAAAUGGUUUUUUCCAAAAAGGAAGGGAAAUAUUUGCAACAAAACUGAAUUUUUCUACAGGGGGCAUCUAUUUUGUGAGGAAAAUAUAUUUCCUGGAUAUACACAUAAAUAUGUAUAUGUAAAUACACAGAUGUGAUGCCCAGCUUAAUCUGAGUCAGGCUUAAGCACUUAAUUUUCUAUAGAAAGUCUCAUUCAACAUGGCAAACCCAGAAGUUUCUUAAAAUAGUUAUUAAAGAUGUAGCUGAGUGGCAGGGCCUUUACCAACUGUGUGAGACCCCAGCAACAUACACACAAUGACACCAACAGUUUUUAAACUGUGAUAAAGGAAGUAUGGUAAUGUUAAGGUAAAUGCACUUAUAUGUAUUUUAAAAGUCCACACUUGGACAUGGUAGCCCACGAGGCACUCAGGAGGUUGAGGCAGGAGAAUUGCCAUGUUAGCAGCAAGUCUGGGUUACAGAGAAAGAUCCUGCCUCAAAAAUGAUUCAAUGUAUUAUUAAUAUAUUAGGUUCCAUUCUGUGAGGCUGAAGAGGUGGCUCGGCAGGUAACAGCAGUUACUGCUAUUGCAGAAAACUGGGGUUCGAUUUCUAACACCCUUAACUGCCUAUAACUCUAGUUCCAGAUCUUACAGCCUCUGCAGGCACAAAGGCAUGUGGAGCACAUGUUUAAUCUCAGAAUCUGGGAGACAAAGGCAGGCGGAUUUCUCUUCAAAACCAGCCUGAUCCACACAACAUGUUUCAAAGUGGGACUACACAGUGACACCUUAUUUAAAAACAGUAGCAAAAGGCAGUGUUUACUAUGUAAUUUACUCAUUUAUCAAUUGAUACUUAUUACAUAUAUAUGUAAUACAUAUUACAUACACAUGCAUGUAUAUAUGUACAUAAUCUAUACAAGUGUACUAUAUGUGUGCUAUGUAUGUACACACACAUACAUGUAACAUACGUAGUUAGGGGGUUGUAGUUUUGGUUUUUUAAGACAGGGUUUCUCUGCGUAGCCUUGGUUGUCCUGGACUCUCUUUGUUGACCAGGCUGGCCUCAAACUCCCAGAGAUCCUCCUGCCUCUGCCUCCCCGAGUACGGGAUUCCAGGUGUGUAUAGCUACUAGUUUUGUUCUUUGAGGCAGGGUUUUUCUGUGUAGCCUUGGCUGUCCUAGAACUCACUCUGUAGGCCAGGCUGGCCUUGAACUCAAAAGAUCCAGCCACCUCUCUGCCGUCAGAGUGCUGGGACUGAAGGUAUCCACCACCACCACCCAGUAUACAUACCUAUUUUACAUGAGCCAGGCAUGGUGAUGUACACCUUGAAUUUUAGCACUGGGCUGCAGAGGUAGGCGGAUCUGUGUAAAUUCAAAGGUACUCUGGUCUACAUAGAAAUUUCUAGGACAGCAGAACAGCUACACAGAGAGAACCUGGCUCAAAACAAACAAGUCUUCAUCAGUUUUCAUGUAACUGGCAUGUGUAAGUGCCUUCACUAAAACCCCAUCUCUCUAUCCUGGCCAACUGCAUCUUUAAGUCAGUGGAUAAAAGGAACACCCCAUGCUAACUGGUAAUAGUAGUGAAGGAUAUUUUCAGAGAUAGACAUUGUGGAAUAAAUAUAAUAAAGUUUUUGAAAAUGAUAAGUCACAGUUUAUUAAGAAAGAGAAAAAUACUCCCCUAAGCAAGAGUGGACUCGUAAGCUGGGGAGGCACAGGGUCAAAGGCAUAGUCUCAGACAAUUUUCUGAGGAGCUGGGAUUCUGGGACAGCUUCGCAUGAAGAUUAGGCUGGCUUCAAAUUGGAAGUGUAGCUAAGAAUAACCUUGAGCUUCAGUUCUUCCUCCCUGUAUUUCAAGUGCUUGGAUUAUAGGUGCAUGUUACCACCCCUGGCAGUCCUUUCCGUUCUUAGUGGUAUUUAAAAAAUAAAAGACCAAGCAGUGUGAUGGCACAUGCCUUUAACCCCAGUACUCUGCAGGGGCAGGCAGGUCCCUUUGAGUUCUAGGACAGCCGGAAAUACAGUGACACCCUGUCUUAAAAAAGACCACUGGGGAUUUCUUAUCCAGAGAGAUGGAUCAGCUGUGUGCUUCCAGCUUUUGUACGGUUUAGAUUUCGCAGCGCUCAAUAAGAACCGGUAACUCCAGCUCCAGUAAAUCCCAUGACGCCUUCUGGCUUCCUUGAGCACACACACCUACACACAUAAACACACACCGAAUCUUAAAAAAAAGAAAGAAGAAAUGACCAAACAACCCAUGUUGUUGAAGAAGGGAGAAAGUUCUGUACCUUGUUUCUUCAGUUUUUGUGGUUAGAUUGAUCAGGGGUCAUUUCCUUCAGAGUCUUCAUCAGUGAAUUUAACCGAGUAUGCGUUAGCAUUAUCUUCUCUUUCAGCUGUGAAGAGACAUAGAUUGAGGACAUUUUAUACUCAACCCUCAAUUUGCUGCUUAUAAAAUUACCAGAUUUAAAAAUAAAUCUAAGCUUGGUGGAGUAUUAGACACCUGUAAUCCCAGCACUAGGGGAGGCAGAGUAGGCAGAUCUAAGUUCGAGGCCAACAUGGUCUACAAAUAGAGUCCAGGACAGCUAAGACUACACAAAGAAACCCUGUCUUGGGGGGGGGGACGACACAGCAGCUAGCUAGCUAGUUAGCUAAAUAAAUAAAUAAAUAAUGUGGAAACAAGCACGUAUACUUAAAAAUUGCCUGUGUUAACAGAAAGGAUAUAGCUGAGUUCUAGGACAGCCUGAUAUACAUAGUUAAUACGAGGCCAGUCAUAGUUACAAAGUAAAAUACUAUCUCCAAAAGAAAAAAAUUAAAAGGUAGUAUAUAUUAAGUAUCUACACAACCAAGUUUACCUCUGCAAUCUUUUCUGGUAGAGGUACAUAAUGAAUAUCCAUUUCAGAUGCAUUUACUAUGGUCUUUGUUUUUAAGAGAUAGCUAGAGAGAAAACAGAGAAAAUAUUAGUACUAUUAUCAAUGACCCAGAUAUACCCUCUAAAAUAUCUAUUAAGCCUGCCGUAAUGGCUUCAAGGAGCAUGGUAUAUUUUUAUUGGAAAAACAAAUUAACAUCACAAAGUGCCUCAUCCUUUCCCAUUCUUAGUGACAAAAUUGUCUCAGGAAAAACAAACCCAGAAUUACAUGAAUAACCACCAUGGGUAAAAAACUCACUCUAGGCUGGGUAUAAUGGUGCACGCCUUAAUUCCAUCACUUUAAAGGCAGAGCCAGGUGGAUAUCUGUAAACUGAAGGCUAGCCAGGACUACAUAGUUAGUUCCAGGACAGCCAGGGAUGCAUAGAGAUCUCGUCUCAAAACAACAAAAGAUGCUUUUUAAUGCUUGAAAGUUUUUCACUUAUUAUACUUCUGUGUUUGUAGAAAGCCCAUGGUUUGCUUUCUCUUGAAAUAUAAUCCUAAAUAGCAGUUACUUGGGAAGAAAAUAGAAGCCAGGCAUGAUAGUCUAUGCCUAUGUAUUUGUCAGGGUUCUCUAGAAAAACAGGCACAAGGAUCACAGGAUGGAAAUGAGUCUGUCUACACAUAGUAAUUGUAUGCCAGCCAGGCAAAAGAGCCAGACCUCCCCACUCAAACAAACAGAGAAAUCAGAAAAUUGGGAAAGCUAGUGUGCACUGACUGGUCUCAUAGUUAAAGAUGACUCUUCAUAAGCUCUGCUGUUUGGCACCGCACACAAACACAUACGUAAGUCACUACAAACGCAUACGAAAAUUUGGAAGUAUCUGUAUUAUUGUUUUUGUUUUUUUCUUUUCGAGACAGGGUUUCUCUCUGUAGCUUGGCUGUCCUAGACUCCCUUUGGCCUUGAACUCACAGAGAUUCACCUGCCUCUGCCUCCCUGAGUGCUGGGAUUACAGGUGUGCCACUCUGCCUGACUUAUUUACUUGCUUUUUAAGACAGGGUUUCUCUGGGUAGUCCUGCCUGUCUAGAACUCACUCUGUGGACCAGGCUGGUCUCAAACUCACAGAGAUCUGCCUGCUCUGCCUUCUGAGUGCUGGAUUAAAGGCUUGUGCUACUGUGCCAUGGUAAGUAAUCUUAACCUCUGGGACAUUUCUUAGCACUUCUUGUAAUAAAAUACCUUAAGUUAAGGGCUGGAGAGAUGGCUCAAAGAUUAAGAGCACUGGCUGUUCUUCCAAAGGUCCUGAGUUCAUUUCUCAGCAGCCACAUGGUGGCUGACAACCAUCUAUAAUGAGAUCUAGUGCCCUCUUCUGGCAUGCAGGCACACAUGCAGGCAGCAUAUUGUAUAAGCAAUAAAUAAAUAAAUCUUUAAAAAAAGGUAAAUGUUCAUCAGGAAGAUGAUGAUGAAAUAUCCUGUUAUAGGAUAAUUCAUUAUUGUAUAUAUAGAAAAACUAAUUGUUAGCAAAAUAUGAGAGGCUAAACAGAUACUGCACUUGCCAGAUGUAGUUAGGUGUGUCCCAAAGAGGUGCAGUUUGGGUGUGCCUCUGUAACUAAGAAUGCUGAAGAAUAGAAAGUUCCUCCCUCUUUGAAGGCAAGUUGCUUGGGAGAGCUCUUGUGGCCUUUGCUGUGUGACCCGAGUGACCAGCUCUGUGGCCAGGUGACCUUGAGCUACCCCACUGUAAAGUGGUAUGGUUUGGCCCCUACUGAAUUGGCUUGGAGCCCCCAUCCAAGAUGAGCCAACAGUGUGGGGGAGGGGCUGGAGACUUCUGUAAGCACUUGGACUUUUGAGAGCAACCUUUUUUAGGCUUGGAGCCCCUUUUUAAGAGGAGCUUUAGGUAAGAGAGAUCCUCUCUGUGGGCUUGCAGGAACAACAGAGAAGCUGCUGGCAGGUUGCAGGUAAAACAAUCUAGGAAAGAGAGCAAAGGAACCCUGGGGUUUGAGGGAGCUCAAAAGAAAGGUAAGCUUUAGCUAGGUAAAAGGACACAAAGAUUUCCAAACAGCUAGCAGCUUAGUUGUAGAGUCAGACUUGUAAAUGGAUAUUUUGUGUAUAGUACAGGAAAUAAAGUUACCUCACUGAACUAGCAAGUUUCUACCUCAGUUCAGGCCUUAAAUGUCUUUAUUGGUAUAAAUAUUAGAUACAUUAAACAGUAAUAAUAUCCAAUGAAAUCUAUGGGAAAAAAUAGUCAUUACUGUACUCUUCCUUUCACUAUUCUUUUUCAUUGGCUAAUUUCUCUGUAUGUGGAGUAAAGUGCAAUAGUUACCCCAACUGUAGCACUAGUAUCAUCUGAAAACAGCUCUAGGUCCUUGUGAUUAAUCAUCACCCUGAAAGAUCUGAAAUCAGCUGGGAGACAAGUAUCAAGGCAUGCCCAUGAAGAACUGACUAGAUUAGAUUCACUGAGGUGCAAAGGCCUGAUCUACAUGUGAGCAGCAACAUUCCACGGUGCCAAAAAUAAAAAUAGGCCAAAAAUAAAAAUGAGGAAGCAAAGGCUAGAGAGAUGGCUAUGGCUGUUCUUCUAGAGGACCCUGGUUCAAUCCCAGUACCCUCAUAGUAGCUUACAAAUGUCUGUAACUUCAGUUCCAGGGGGUCUGACACCCUCACACAGAGAUACAUGCACACAUAACACAAAUGUAUGUAAAAAAUAAAACCACUAAAAAAGAAAGCUGAACAUUCAUUAGCAUUUGUGUUGUAGAAUAUUUGAUCCCACUGUGAAGCCCGAGAUCAUGAACUAUAAAAACCUGUCUUUUGUUUGGUGUGGUUCAGGCCUAACACACACCUUUAAUCCAAGAAGUUUCUUAUUGUGAACAGGUGGUUGUGGUGUGGUUCAGCUCUAACACCUUUUCUUUAAUACUUUUUUGGGGGGUGGGGUGGGGGUGAUUUCGAGACAGGGUUUAUCUGUGUAGCCUUGGCUGUCCUACACUCACUUUGUAGAUCGGGCUGGCCUUGAAUCUACUGAGAUCUGCCUGCCUCAGCCGGCCUGAGUGCUGGGAUUAAAGGCAUGCAUCUCCACAGCUGGGACUUUGUUUCUAAAAACAACACACUUGUCUCUCUGCUUCCUGACUGCUGAUAUAGUUGCCCUGGUCCUGGUGUCUCUUCAUAGAGAAGAAAAUCCUAUCUAAGACAACCUUCAAACUGUGAGCCACAAGAAGCCCUCCUUUCAUGGAGGUUGUUUUUGUCAGGUAUUACGUCUUUUCAUAAGACAAGCCAACACAGCCCUCAUCUCAGAUUCCAGGGGUAGAAAAGUCUGGCUGAGUUGGGUUAGGUGUAAUAUAUGUGUAUAUGUCUAUCUUGGAGGCUGCGUCCCAUGUAGGCCGAGUCCCAUACAUGAGAAGGGCAUCAGACCCAGCUGCAAACCAAGUCACCUACGAAAACGCUAUUUUGCAAAAGCAUACCUUCUAGAAUUUUUCUGAAUGAAGGAAUAUUAAAUUAUUCCAUUUUAAGACAGUACAGUAAAACACCUAAAGUAAUGAUAGUAUUUAUUAUAGGAUCAUAUUUUAUGCUUGCAGGCAUGUGUAUAAUAAACAGGACCUGGCCUUUUGCAUCUUCUUUGGUUACAGACACCUGAACCUUUUUAAGAAAAAUUUAAAAAUCUUAUUUGAUAAGUAAUAGCUUUAUGUACUCACCACACCAUUUUGUCACAGGAGAGGCAGAAGUAGCCUCUCAAGGCAGCCAGGGCAGCAUGGGUGGAGUACAGAUGGAAACCAACAGGAGUCCCACAGGAAUCGCAGAAUAACAGGUUGUAUGUGCUGAUGGGGAAACAGAGAAGCAGAAUGUAAAAUAAGGAGAAGCCAGAGAAGAAAUGAAAACAACUGCCCUCAUCAGGUAUGAUGACAGCAUCUGUGACCCUACAACUCAGAAGCUGAGGCAGGAGGAGCUCAAGUUCAGGACCAAGAGUUCAAGUUCACAGGCCUGGGCCACGUAAGACUCUUGACUCAAAAAAACAAAAGCAGAGAUAAGAAUUUAUGAUGAAAAAAGAAAGGAAAACAAAGGGGGGUGUGGUGACUUUAAUCCUAGCAUUCAGGAGGCAGAGUACCGGCCAGCCAGGGCUAAACAAGAAAACCCUGCUAGGGAUACAGAACCAAACCAGACCCUAAUGUCACUGUCUCUGACUACUUGUAUAAUUCACAGCUCCCAACUUCAUAAAGAAAUUUACUACUCUCCUUAUGAUGUUUUUUUUUUUUCCUGCUCUAUGCUAAAAAGUUAGGAUCCUGUAACUUGCUGGGCCACUGGAUCAUGAACACUGGAGGACUUAAGGCAGUUACUUCUAAUAAAUAAAUAAAUACAAUUGGUUCUCCAUUAUAUAGAACAAGGGAAAAUAGAUUUUAAUUUCUAUUCAUUAUAAUCUGUCAGUCUGGAAGACUAUCAAGCAGUGGAGCAGAAUAAAGAUUUUUCCUCCACUCUCAUCUAUUUUCUAGAGUGCUUCGAUUAAACUUUUGAUAUGAUUUACAAGUGUUGUACCACAUACGACAUAAGCUAAUAAUCAACUACUGAAUUGAAAGACACUGAAACAGCUAUCUCAAGACCUCAAGUUUUUUAGUAAAAACGACCAUUUACCUUCACAAGGACACAAGGAGAUGAACAACACAGUGAAGAAAUCAUGGCUGCACUGACAGCAGGUAAAGGUGCCUGCUUAUUAAGCUUCAGACCUCAGGACAUGAAUAGGAGAGAACGGACUGCUGAAAGCUGACCUCUCACCCUCACAUGUGAACCUUGGUAUGUGAAUAUACACAGAAACACACCCUACCUAAAUAGAGUAAAAUUAUCUUUAGGCCAGGCAGUGGUGGCGCAGCCUUUAAUCCCAGCACUCGGGAGGCAGGGGCGGGCAGAUGUUUUUGAGUUCAGUUCAAGGCCAGCCUGGUCUGCAAAGUGAUUCCAGGACAACCAGUGCUGUUACAGAGAAACCCAACCUUGAGAAACCAAUAUAUAAGCACAUACAUAUUUAUAUAGACAUAUAAAUAUAUAAUAUACAUUUUACAAAUUAUAAUGUGAAACAAAUCUAUGUAUUUUUUUCUUGAAGUACUGUAGAUCAAUUCUAGUACCUCAUACAAGCUAGGCAAGCACUGCACUUUUGAGCUGUAAAAGUACAUUAAUUUUUGUUGGGUUGGUUUUUCAGACAGGGUUUCUUUGUGCAGACUUAGCUGUCCUGGAACUUGCUCUAUAUACCAACCAGGCUGUUCUCGAAUUUACAAAGAUCCUCUUGCUUCUGCCACCCCAAGUGUUGAGUUUACAGGUGUAUGCCGUUACCACAGGCUUAUAAUUAAAAUUUUAAAUGAAUUUGUGAAAUUAAGAUAGUAACUUUUUCUUUUUUAAAAAAAGUAUUUAUUUAUUUUAUGUAUAUGAGUGCUCUGUUUUGAUGCUAGAAGAGGACCCCAGAUCUCAUUAUAGAUGGUUGUGAGCCAUCAUGUGGUUGCUGGGAAUUAAACUCAGGACCUCUUAACCACUGAGCCAUCUCUCCAGCCCCCUUUAAGUAACUUUUAUUUGCUGGCUUCAGUUGUCUCAGAGGCUUAGUGGCCUUGUCUUCUAACCCAGGCCUAGUCCCGGAAGUUGAGCCUCCGUACAAUCUCCCUACUAGGCCUAAAAUAUUUCAGCCUCUGAGAAUUACUGCUUAAUUAGCUCACCCUUUCUUGUUCUUUCUGAGCUCUGGGCUGGCUGAUUCAGCUAGGCUAUUCUGGCUCAGUCUCCUCCCCAGCUGAUUUAAUCAAUCUGGCUUCUCUCUUGGGCCCUGAAUUGCUCUGCUUGGAUUCAAACUAACUCCAGCAAUCUGCUAUAAUCUCCUGGUUCUUCUUCAUUCUCUGGCUCUUCUGGUGUUCACCUGAAUUCCUUCUCUGCAACCUGUCUCUCUAUUACUUGUUCCUAUGAAAACUGCCUCUUCUCUUUCUCAUUGCCCCUUAAGCUGCUAAGUAGCUUCCCUUUCCUCUCUCUUCUCAUGAGUUGGGCAUAUACUAUUCUAGAUAGUCUUCUCUGAUUUUUCACUGUUUCUGCCACUUUCAAACAUGAGUGCUUCCUUCUACAAACUAACUUUUCCUUCAUUGUUUGGGAUUAAAGGCAUGUACCAACAUACCCGGACCUAAACUUUUCUUUCUUUUUUUUUCCAGACAGGUUUCUCUGUGUAGCCUUAGCUGUCCUGAUUUUGUAGACCAGGCUGGCCUCGAACUCAGUGAUCCACUUGCCUCUGCCUCCCAGAGUGCUGGGAUUCUGGGUGCACGCCACCACACCUGGCUUUUUUUCUUUACCUGAAACUUGCUCUAUACUAGGCUGGACUUGAUCUCAGAGAUCUGCUUCCCUCUGUCUCCUGGGAUUAAAGAUGUGUUUGUACUCCAGCAGGAUCACACAGACCUAGAGGAUUUGGAUGUGAUCUCUUGCCAGAACAGCCAUGUUCUGAAUUAACAUUCUUUUACAAUUUCAUGCAGACAAAUUGUUAAGAGCCUUGAAAGCUCGCCUGAAUCCCGAAACAAGGGGAGAAAAUACAAAUCAGGAUGAAAAUCAAUCU